GACGAACGCUGGCGGCGUGCUUAACACAUGCAAGUCGAACGGAAAGGCCCUGCUUGCAGGGUACUCGAGUGGCGAACGGGUGAGUAACACGUGGGUGAUCUGCCCUGCACUUCGGGAUAAGCCUGGGAAACUGGGUCUAAUACCGGAUAGGAGCCAUUUUGAGAGUGAUGGUUGGAAAGUCUUUUCGGUGUAGGAUGAGCUCGCGGCCUAUCAGCUUGUUGGUGGGGUAAUGGCCUACCAAGGCGGCGACGGGUAGCCGGCCUGAGAGGGUGGACGGCCACCUUGGGACUGAGAGGCGGCCCAGACUCCUACGGGAGGCAGCUGUGGGGAAUCUUGCUCCAUGGGCGCCAGCCUGAUGCAGCGACGCCGCGUGGGGGAUGACGGCCUUCGGGUUGUAAACUCCUUUCGCUAGGGACGAAGCUUUUUGUGACGGUACCUAGAUAAGAAGCACCGGCUAACUACGUG
rnacentral:rRNA from 1 species